rnacentral:rRNA from 1 species
UAACUGAAGAGUUUGAUCCUGGCUCAGAGUGAACGCUGGCGGCAGGCCUAACACAUGCAAGUCGAACGGUAGCACAGAAGAGCUUGCUCUUUGGGUGACGAGUGGCGGACGGGUGAGGAAUAUAUCGGAAUCUACCCAAUCGUGGGGGAUAACGUAGGGAAACUUACGCUAAUACCGCAUACGAUCUGAGGAUGAAAGCGGCGGACCGCAAGGCGUCGCGCGAUUGGAUGAGCCGAUAUCCGAUUAGCUAGUUGGUGAGGUAAUGGCCCACCAAGGCAACGAUCGGUAGCUGGUCUGAGAGGAUGAUCAGCCACACUGGAACUGAGACACGGUCCAGACUCCUACGGGAGGCAGCAGUGGGGAAUAUUGGACAAUGGGCGCAAGCCUGAUCCAGCCAUGCCGCGU